GAUGAACGCUGGCGGCGUGCCUAAUACAUGCAAGUCGAGCGAAGCGGGGACGGGUGAGUAACACGUGGAUAACCUCCUAUAAGACUGGGAUAACUUCGGGAAACCGGAGCUAAACCGGAUACUUACAGAUGGAUCCGCGCCGCAUUAGCUAGUUGGUAAGGUAACGGCUUACCAAGGCAACGAGGCGUAGCCGACCUGAGAGGGUGAUCGGGCAAACUGGAACGGAGACACGGGCCAGACUCCUACGGGAGGCAGCAGUAGGGAAUCGUCUGCAAUGGGCGAAAGCCUGACGGAGCAACGCCGCGUGAGUGAUGAAGGUCUUCGGAGCGUAACAUUCUGUUAUUAGGGAAGCGGUACCUAAACAGAAAGCCACGGCUAACUACGUGCCAGCAGCCGCGGUAAUAC
rnacentral:rRNA from 1 species